UGGAAGAAUAAGAAGCAGGAGCUGUGAUUUAUUGGAGUAAUAGAGUAGCCGCCAAGAAAAAAAUAAAAAUAAAUAAUAAUAAGGGCAGCUCGGUUUGGUUAAGGAGAAAAGCAGCAUGAAGGCAUAGCUGGAGUUGAACUACAAGAAUAAAACUAAGUUAAUUCAAUCUUUCUUUCUCUUCCCUGCUCCUCCACCUGGUCUCCUUCUUGCUCAAUUUCCUGCCGAACAAGCCCAGUCCCUCUUUACCUUUCAGUUUUGCCGAAUCAAGCUCAUCCCGUCUAUCCUCAGUUAGCUAGGUCCAGAUAAGUGAGUAGCAAGGUGUUAAACAAGCUCUAGCAAAUCAAAGGAAGAGCAUACAAGGAAUUGCAAUAAAUAAGCAAGGUAACAACAAUUAAUGAUUUGUUAAUAUUACAGUGUAUGUAUAUGGUUAUCAGUUAGCAAUUAAAAUUGAUUGGGUUAAUUAUGUUAUGAGCUAUGGCCAAAUGAUUAGGCAACAAAAAUAAAGAUAUGACAGUAGGUAUAUCUUGAAUUGAGGUAAGAAACUAAAAGUUAAGCUCAUAUUUAUGCAAAACAGUUAGUUAUAAGGAAAUUCAAGUUAGUUUGGCAAAGACAGGUAAUUUAUGAAAUGGGUAAGUUAACUGACAUAAAUUGUGGUAUGUAGCAAUAAUGAUAUGUGAUAUAGCUAAUUAUUAUCAAAUGAAGUGGAGUAUACAAAGUUUACUUAAAGUUAGUAAACUAGUUAAUGCAAGUAUAUUCAUGUAUGGUCUUCGUUAAAAAUUGGAUCCUUGUGGACUGAAUAAGAGCCAUGGAGAUUAGCGUGGUUGUGCAGAGUAAUAAGGUGGGAAAAAUUGGGCUAGAACACAAACCAAGCUCUAUGAAAACUGAAUUUUAAAGCGACACACACUAUGUGUUCGCUAAAACUCCUCUAAGGACUGUUUUUGUUAAAAAAUGAAAACUAAGCGAAGCCAAGACCUGAGUUAUAUAUAUACACAUUAUAUAUAACUAAUUAGAAAGUUUUGGUGAAUCGAAUUAAGAGAGGAAACAUUUUUGAGACAUAACGAAAAGUUGAAAACUAGUUUGGCUACUGACCUUGAGGCCAAUUUCGGGACUAGUUAUAUUUCUAGAAAAAUUCUGGGUUUUUGGGGAAGUAUAGUACACUGAAUAAGGAAUUCAUAGCCUCUAGAAUGGACUAAUUCCGACCUCGGAGGAGAGAGUUAUGACAUUCCAAAGUAAACGUGUCAAAUCUGUCCAAAAUCUGGAAAUCAGAUUCUGACCAGCCCGUUGCACGAAUUUUCUGGAAUUUUGUGUUAUGAAUUUGAAAAUGGUCAAAGAAUAAAAGUUGUAGUUCCGGAAGUUAGCUUCGCGUGGGCAUAAGAAUCGCUCAAAAAUGUUUUGAAACGAAAAAGUUGUGACUGUUUUAGCGAAAAAGGGUAAAGCUGGAAAUGAAUUGAAAACUGUUAUGAACGUCCACUUUUGACGUACUGUUUGGGCUGCCUAAUGAACCCGAAUUGGGUAACUCGUAUUUUUUAAAAAUAGUCUUACAUACCAUGUAUAACAUAUUCAAAAAUGAGCGCGAUCCGACAUGCGAGCUAAAAAUGGAAAAAUUGCAGAGUAGCCGCGUCGCGGAGGGGGCUGCUGCCCACAGCAGCAGCAGCACACAGACAGCAGCAGCGCACAAUAGCAGUUGGCUGGGGGCUGUUUUGGCCUCUUGUUUAACGCGUCUAAAUUACCCAAAAUGUUCGGUUAGCAUUUUUUAAAAAUAGGUGGACAUACCACCUAUAGCAUAUCCAAAAUUGGUCGGGAUCGGACGAAUGAGACGGAAACUAAAAAUAUGCAAAGUGGACGUAAGAACAUGUUCGUUGGCGUCGUGACACGUAUUUCAAGGUGGAGACACAGAUUUCGAGGUUUUUGACAGUUUCACGUAUUCUGAGGCAUCGAGGCGGAUAUAGAACGCAGUUUAAAACCUAUAUAACAUGUACAACCGUUUGAAGCAUACUAGACGCUAUAAAAGCAAUAUGUAACAUGUACAUGGGUAAUAUAUCCGUGAGAUAGGAUAUGUUGACGUUAAUGAAAGCUAUUCCAAAGUUAUACCUCGGAACUGAACGGUUUUUGAAAUACAAAGCGAUAAUUGUGUAAACGGAGUUGAAAAUUCAACGCUUGACAUUAAUAAGGUAUGUGUAGGUAUAAGACAUACAAAUAGCAUAUGUCUACCUACAAACCAAGUAAAUGAGGCAAUGUUUGACAUUAUAAGAGACGCGUAUAUGCAAAAACAUAUAUGUACUUCAUGUGUACAUGAAAUGGGAAAAAGUAAUGUAAUAUGAACGCAUUAAGCCUAGAAAGCUAAUAUUCGUGUGAAAUAGUAUUUAAAUUACUCACGAAAGCGAAAAUAAGAUAUAAUUAUGCAAAGUAAAGGCACAAAUGCACUAUAUGACUAUAAGUCUACAUAUAGAUACGUGUAAAGUCUGUAAAUGCAUUAUAAAAGGGUUAUAAACUGUAAAUGUAAUGAAUUGACAUUGUAAAAGCCGUGUUGGAACUUUUUGAGAAUGUAUAGCUAUAAUAAGCCGAAACCUAAAAUAUUCUAAAGGAAUAUGAAAGUUUCUUAGAAAUAAGAAUAUCAGAUAUUGAUAUAGUUUAUGUGAAUAUUGUUAGCUAUACAGGUUUUGGGAUAUGAAUCUGUGACUAAUGUAUGUAUACAUGUGAACAUAAUUGUGUAGGAUUCGGGAAGCGAAGUUAAACAAAAGUUUGUAUCAAUAGUCAUUGAACGAGGCAAGUUUUUCAGUUCUAUUAUGUUUGUGGAUUAAAUGUGAUUAUGUGGUGAGUUACAUACCGUGCUUUAUGAAUUGUUAAAGUCAAAAUAUGACUAAGUUAAUUGGGUUAUGGAACUCAAUUUAUAUGUGAUAUGUGAUAGCACGUGUUGUAUAAUGUAACUCGAUAAAUUAGAAAUGUAUAAUGCAUGAAUGUAUGCUUUGCAAGGAAUUAUUGAUGCAUGUAGGAUAUGCAUGGUAAAGAAUAUAUGUUGCAUGUGGAUAUGCAUAGUAAAGGAAAUAUAGUGCAUAUGGAAUUGUGUGCUAUGUGAAACAUGAUAGACUGUUAAAUUUGCUGGGCUGUCGAGCUCAAUCUUGCAAACACAAACUUUUUGCAGGUUAAUGAUGUUAAGUAAUAUUACUUGCUAUACAGAUGAUGAAAAUUAAACGAUGUGCAAAAUGAAUACAUUUUCUUAAAUUAGAAAUGGUAUAAAUUUAUGAUUGAUAGUUUUGUCAAAUGUAAAUGGGCAGUUAUGUAUAGUUUAAAAUGUUGAAUGGAUAAAUAAUGUUUAUUCUGAAAUGAGAAUAAAUAUGAUUCUAGUAUAAAGAAGAAUUGUAAAGGUUGCGAUUCAGGGAAUGAAUGAAUGGAAAUAAAGAAGAAAACAAAAAUUAUUCCGCAUUUUUUAGCUAUUUUAACAUUAAAUAAUGUUUUAAAGCUAUAACAAGGUAGUAUUAACGCACAAGAUCGGGAAGGGAAAUGGUCCCGAUUUUGGGGUUGUUACAGUUGGUAUCAAAGCUAUAGGUAUGAUAUAUUGGUAUUAUAUAUUUAUUAUAUGUAAAUAAAUUAUAGGGGUAAUUUAUUAAAGAAAAUGAGAUGGGUAGAAUUAAAAUAAUUUAUAAGAAAAUUGUUUUAAUAUAAGAAAAAAUUGCACUUAAUAUAUUAUCCUAUUAGAAUUGGAAAUCAGGUAAAAGAUACUAUUUACGCUUUGUGUAUGUAACAAAUGACAUGUCAUUAAUUGGGUUAUUGUUGGUAAGUUAGUUUUUAUUUUAUAAGAAGUAAAUAAAAACAAUGAGAAAUCAGAUAUAAGUCCAGUAUGAGCUGGAGGAAGGAUAGCAAUUUGGUGAACGGUAAGACUGUUUUAGUACGAGCUGUCCAUGUAUUGUGCAUAGUUGAAUGGUUUUACGAAUUUAAUUAGCAUUCUAUUUAAAUAGGAAGUAUGUAAACUUCUAUGCUUUCAAAGAAUGGCAUAAUAAGGUGUGUAAUUGCAGCUAAUUAUCGAGCAAGGGGGGAGGCAAGUUGCUGCACAUUUGCAGCAACAGUUGUUAGCUAACUGCUAAUGCAAUGUAAAGCCACACUAAAAUUUAUUAAAUCCCACAAUAAAAACUAUAUUGGAACUUGUUGAGCGAAAUAUGAUUAUAUAUUAAGCUGAAACUUAAAAUAUUUGAAAAAGAAUAUGGAAGUUUCCUAGAAAUGAGAAUAUAAGUUAUUGAUAUAACGUAUAUGAAUGUUUAAUAUCUAUACAGGAGUAUGUGGCUAAUGUAUGCCUACAACAUAAUUGUGUAGGAUUCGUGAAGCGAAGUUAAACUAGCUAAAGUUUGUAUCAAUGGUCAUUGAACGAGGCAAGUUUUUCAGUUCUGUUAUGUUUGUGGAUGGAAUGUGGUUAUGUGCUAAAUUACAUAUCAUGCUCUAUGAAUUGUUAAAGUCAAAAUAUGACUAAGUUAAUUGGGUUAUGAAACUCAAUUUAUAUGUGAUUUGUGAUAACACAUGUUGUAUGAUGUAACUCGAUAAAUUAGAAAUGUAUAAUGCAUGAAUGUAUACUUUGUAAGGAAUUAUUGAUGAAUGUAGGAUAUGCAUAGUAAAGAAUAUAUGUUGCAUGCGGAUAUGCAUAUUAAAGGAAAUGUAGUGCAUAUGGAAUUGUGUGCUAUGUGAAACAUGAUAGACUGUUAAAUUUGCUGGGCUAUCGAGCUCAAUCUUGCAAACACAAACUUUUUGCAGGUUAAUGACGUUAUGCAAUAUUAUUUGUUAUGCGGAUGAUGAAGGAUGAAGGAUGAAUGAUGGACGAAAUGAAUACAUUUCUUUGAAUUAGAAAUGGUAUAAAGCUAUGAUUGAUAGUUGCUAAAUAUAAUUGGCAGUUAUGUAUAGUUUGAAAUGUUGAAUAGAUAAAUAAUGUUUAUUCUGAAAUGAGAAUAAAUAUGAUUCUAGUAUAAAGAAGAAUUGUAAAGGUUGCGAUUCAGUGAAUAAAUGAAUGGAAAUAAAGAAGAAGAAAAAUUUAUUCUGCAUUCUUAGCUAUUUUAACAUUAAAUAAUGUUUUAAAGCUAUAACAAGAUAGUAUUAACGCACAAGAUUGGGAAGGGAAAUAGUCUCGAUUUUGGGGUCGUUACAGAAGUAGUACGGGAAGAAGAAUUCAAAUUGAGUUGUAAAGGAUAGCAUACGAAUUAAAGAAAAUUCGUAUUAAGUAAAAAGAAAGUUAGAAGUUGUAAGAUUUCAAUUGAGGACUCAUGUGAUAGCUGAGUUAUAUGAACCUUUGUAUGGGCAAAGGUUUGUGCUUGGUGUAACAACCACUCGGUUUAUUACAGUGAUAAUC
rnacentral:lncRNA from 1 species